rnacentral:rRNA from 1 species
UUGCUGCUUUGCUGACGAGUGGCGGACGGGUGAGUAAUGUCUGGGAAACUGCCUGAUGGAGGGGGAUAACUACUGGAAACGGUAGCUAAUACCGCAUAACGUCGCAAGACCAAAGAGGGGGACCUUCGGGCCUCUUGCCAUCGGAUGUGCCCAGAUGGGAUUAGCUAGUAGGUGGGGUAACGGCUCACCUAGGCGACGAUCCCUAGCUGGUCUGAGAGGAUGACCAGCCACACUGGAACUGAGACACGGUCCAGACUCCUACGGGAGGCAGCAGUGGGGAAUAUUGCACAAUGGGCGCAAGCCUGAUGCAGCCAUGCCGCGUGUAUGAAGAAGGCCUUCGGGUUGUAAAGUACUUUCAGCGGGGAGGAAGGGAGUAAAGUUAAUACCUUUGCUCAUUGACGUUACCCGCAGAAGAAGCACCGGCUAACUCCGUGCCAGCAGCCGCGGUAAUACGGAGGGUGCAAGCGUUAAUCGGAAUUACUGGGCGUAAAGCGCACGCAGGCGGUUUGUUAAGUCAGAUGUGAAAUCCCCGGGCUCAACCUGGGAACUGCAUCUGAUACUGGCAAGCUUGAGUCUCGUAGAGGGGGGUAGAAUUCCAGGUGUAGCGGUGAAAUGCGUAGAGAUCUGGAGGAAUACCGGUGGCGAAGGCGGCCCCCUGGACGAAGACUGACGCUCAGGUGCGAAAAGCGUGGGAGCAACAGGAUAGAUACCUGGUAGUC